CUAACACAUGCAGUCGAGCGGCAGCGGAAGUAGCUUGCUACUUUGCCGGCGAGCGGCGGACGGGUGAGUAAUGUCUGGGAAACUGCCUGAUGGAGGGGGAUAACUACUGGAAACGGUGGCUAAUACCGCAUAACGUCGCAAGACCAAAGUGGGGGACCUUCGGGCCUCACGCCAUCGGAUGUGCCCAGAUGGGAUUAGCUAGUAGGUGGGGUAAUGGCUCACCUAGGCGACGAUCCCUAGCUGGUCUGAGAGGAUGACCAGCCACACUGGAACUGAGACACGGUCCAGACUCCUACGGGAGGCAGCAGUGGGGAAUAUUGCACAAUGGGCGCAAGCCUGAUGCAGCCAUGCCGCGUGUGUGAAGAAGGCCUUCGGGUUGUAAAGCACUUUCAGCGAGGAGGAAGGCAUCAUACUUAAUACGUGUGGUGAUUGACGUUACUCGCAGAAGAAGCACCGGCUAACUCCGUGCCAGCAGCCGCGGUAAUACGGAGGGUGCAAGCGUUAAUCGGAAUUACUGGGCGUAAAGCGCACGCAGGCGGUUUGUUAAGUCAGAUGUGAAAUCCCCGCGCUUAACGUGGGAACUGCAUUUGAAACUGGCAAGCUAGAGUCUUGUAGAGGGGGGUAGAAUUCCAGGUGUAGCGGUGAAAUGCGUAGAGAUCUGGAGGAAUACCGGUGGCGAAGGCGGCCCCCUGGACAAAGACUGACGCUCAGGUGCGAAAGCGUGGGGAGCAAACAGGAUUAG
rnacentral:rRNA from 1 species